rnacentral:misc_RNA from 1 species
AAGUCGUAACAAGGUUUCCGUAGGUGAACCUGCGGAGGGAUCAUUACUGAGAACUUGCCCUUAGGGGUAGAUCUCCACCCUAUGUUUACAUACUUUGUUGCUUUGGCAGGCCUGCCUUGGCUGCUGGCUUCGGCUGGUUAGUGCCUGCCAGAGAACCAACACCCUGAUUAAUUUACUGUCAGAGUUACUAUUAAAUAGUUAAAA